CUUAAGUCCUGUAACUGAACCCAAACUUGUUGAUCAUGUGAACUGGCAGCACUCUGGCACAAGAAAACAAAGCUUCAGCCAAGCUUUAUUAGAGAAGGCUAUUGAAGCUCAGGAGAUGGGAAGGCUCACUAAAGUCUUUCAGGAUAAAGAUGAUUCAGAGAUAUCCUGGUGUGUGAGAAUAGUUCAGAGAAGUAAUGGUCCUUCUGUGAAAUACUGUGAGUGGAUGUGAGGAAAGUGAGAUACCUAAAAUCUGCAAAAGUUGGUGUGAAAUGAAGCCCAUGCUCUGAGCAAGACUUCCAGCAACUGCAGAAAGCUUUGGGGCA
rnacentral:lncRNA from 1 species